UGUUUUGUAUUUCACAUCAGGUUUUAGAACGUCCGCCUCGGAUGCGGAAGCUUGCGGGUUCAAACCCUGGCCGAGUCAU